GUCGGUCUGAUUAGCAGACAGUAUCAAAGUUGGUUCCCAUAGUAUUUCUCAUCCAGUUUAGUGCCGUAUUCCAGCCUUUCUCUUUGAGUUUUAUCCCAAGAUCUGAUUCGUUGCUGCAACUCAGCCUCUAUCGCCGUAAGGCUCAUUGAAAAGGUAUAUAUUAUGUCUAAUAAAAUCCGUGGAACGGUUAAGUGGUUCAAUUCAGAGAAAGGUUUCGGUUUUAUCUCUCCUGAAAAUGGUAGCAAGGACGUAUUCGUUCAUUACUCCGCUAUCCAGGGUACAGAUUACCGUUCACUUGACGAAGGUCAACGUGUUGAAUUUUCAGUUGAAGAUGGUCAGAAAGGCCCUUCAGCAGUCAAUGUGGUAGGUCUUUAAAAUUACGUCAGUAGCAAACCGUUUGAGAUGUCCACAUUGCCAGAGUUCUCAAU
rnacentral:sRNA from 1 species